UGCAAGUCGAGCGGUAGCACAGGGGAGCUUGCUCCCUGGGUGACGAGCGGCGGACGGGUGAGUAAUGUCUGGGAAACUGCCUGAUGGAGGGGGAUAACUACUGGAAACGGUAGCUAAUACCGCAUAACGUCGCAAGACCAAAGAGGGGGACCUUCGGGCCUCUUGCCAUCAGAUGUGCCCAGAUGGGAUUAGCUAGUAGGUGGGGUAAUGGCUCACCUAGGCGACGAUCCCUAUCUGGUCUGAGAGGAUGACCAGCCACACUGGAACUGAGACACGGUCCAGACUCCUACGGGAGGCAGCAGUGGGGAAUAUUGCACAAUGGGCGCAAGCCUGAUGCACCCAUGCCGCGUGUGUGAAGAAGGCCUUCGGGUUGUAUAUCACUUUC
rnacentral:rRNA from 1 species